rnacentral:rRNA from 1 species
CUGGUUGAUCCUGCCAGUAGUGAUACGCUGUCAUUAAGGACUAAGCCAUGCAUGUGUAAGUAUAAGAAGUACUCGAGACUGCGAAUGGCUCAUUAUAUCAGUUAUAGUUUAUUUGAUAGUCCCUUACUACUUGGAUAACCGUAGUAAUUCUAGAGCUAAUACAUGCGUCAAGAUCCGACUUCGGGAGGAUUGUAUUUAUUAGGUUACAAAACCAACCCUCUCUCGGGAGGUAGUUGGGGUGAGUCAUGAUAAGCAUGCGGAUCGCAGGGCUUUACGCCGGCGACGGAUCAUGUAAGUUCCU